CGCUCUUUGUAAAGUUACUGAUAUAUAAAGAGUUCUGCCUGCCCAGUAACGUUGUUAAACGGCCGCGGUAUCUUGACCGUGCAAAGGUAGCAUAAUCAUUUGCCCUUUAAAUGGGGGCUGGUAUGAAUGGCAAGACGGGGGUUAAGCUGUCUCUUUCUUAUUUCUUGAAUUUUAUAUCCUUGUGAAGAAGCGAGGAUAAAUUCGUAGGACGAGAAGACCCUAUCGAGCUUUAACAUAUUAAUAUCAAUAAUUUAAAUAUAACAUUGCCUUCUAAUAACAGUUGAUAUUGAGCUUAGACAAAAUUAAAUGCUUUGAGAUAAGAUGAUUUGGUAUUACUGUUUUGGUUGGGGCAAUCGUGGAGAAAAAAAUCCUCCAUUAAGACAAUAAAAAAUUAUUAUUUUAUUAAAAAAAUAAAAUGAUCCGCUUUAAUAGCGAACAAAGGAAUAAGUUACCGUAGGGAUAACAGCGUAAUUUUUUUGGAGAGUCCAUAUUGAUAAAAAAGUUUGCGACCUCGAUGUUGGAUCGGGAUUUCCUGGGGAUGCAGCAGUUUCCAAGGGUUGGUCUGUUCGACCAUUAAAAUCCU
rnacentral:rRNA from 1 species